UUGGGCGUAAAGCGCGCGCAGGCGGAUCAGUCAGUCUGUCUUAAAAGUUCGGGGCUUAACCCCGUGAUGGGAUGGAAACUGCUGAUCUAGAGUAUCGGAGAGGAAAGUGGAAUUCCUAGUGUAGCGGUGAAAUGCGUAGAUAUUAGGAAGAACACCAGUGGCGAAGGCGACUUUCUGGACGAAAACUGACGCUGAGGCGCGAAAGCCAGGGGAGCGAACGGGAUUAGAUACCCCGGUAGUCCUGGCCGUAAACGAUGGGUACUAGGUGUAGGAGGUAUCGACCCCUUCUGUGCCGGAGUUAACGCAAUAAGUACCCCGCCUGGGGAGUACGACCGCAAGGUUGAAACUCAAAGGAAUUGACGGGGGCCCGCACAAGCGGUGGAGUAUGUGGUUUAAUUCGACGCAACGCGAAGAACCUUACCAGGUCUUGACAUUGAUGGACAGAACUAGAGAUAGUUCCUCUUCUUCGGAAGCCAGAAAACAGGUGGUGCACGGUUGUCGUCAGCUCGUGUCGUGA
rnacentral:rRNA from 1 species